AGUGAACGCUGGCGGUAGGCCUAACACAUGCAAGUCGAACGGCAGCACAGUAAGAGCUUGCUCUUACGGGUGGCGAGUGGCGGACGGGUGAUGAAUACAUCGGAAUCUACUUUUUCGAGGGGGAUAACGUAGGGAAACUUACGCUAAUACCGCAUACGACCUACGGGUGAAAGCAUGGGAUCUUCGGACCUUGCGCGAUUGAAUGAGCCGAUGUCGGAUUAGCUAGUUGGCGGGGUAAAGGCCUACCAAGGCGACGAUCCGUAGCUGGUCUGAGAGGAUGAUCAGCCACACUGGAACUGAGACACGGUCCAGACUCCUACGGGAGGCAGCAGUGGGGAAUAUUGGACAAUGGGCGCAAGCCUGAUCCAGCCAUGCCGCGUGGGUGAAGAAGGCCUUCGGGUUGUAAAGCACUUUUGUUGGGAAAGAAAAGCAGCAGGUUAAUACCCCGCUGUUCUGACGUUACCAAAAGAAUAAGCACCGGCUAACUUCGUG
rnacentral:rRNA from 1 species